rnacentral:rRNA from 1 species
UACGAAGGGGGCUAGCGUUGCUCGGAAUCACUGGGCGUAAAGCGCACGUAGGCGGGUCUUUAAGUCAGGGGUGAAAUCUCCGAGCUUAACUCGGAAACUGCCAUUGAUACUAUUGGUCUUGAAUUCGGUCGAGGUUGGCGGAAUGUGUCGUGUAGCGGUGAAAUGCUUAGAUAUGACACAGAACACCGAUUGCGAAGGCAGCUAGCUAGACCGACAUUGACGCUGAGGCACGAAAGCGUGGGGAUCAAACAGG